UUAAUCAAAUCUGCUUGGACGUGCUGUAAUUAGAGUGUGUCAGAGCAGUCUCACUGCACAUAUAUAGGUGCCCACAAGUACCUAAGAAGAGGAUGUCAGGUGUGCAGAACAGGAAACAAAAAGCUUAGUUAAUGACUACAAUGAAUAAAAAUGCAGACUUAAUGAAAAAAUAUUUGAAAUUUGUUAAUGACAGCCCCGGGCAGUAGUAGUGACAUGGUCACAUCAGGGACGUCAAAUGAAAAAUGCAUUGACAAUCCACAAUUCAACUUCCAAGAAUCAUCACAAGAAACACAAAAAGACCCAAAUGAAACAGAAAUUCUACAUCUGGACCAAAAUAAUGAUGAUCACUGGUUAUAAAAAUAAAAUGAUUCCCAUUAUAGACACUGGUGAUACCAUUUCUGAUCCUGCUUUAUGGCCCAAUCUAAUGCCCAAAAUUUGAGAUCUGCUAGUGGCCAAUGGUCCACCAGAAGUAAAGGGCAUGGACUUACCUCUGGGUAAGAAGAAUUGCCACUUUUCUGUGACAUUUUUUAUUCAGAAAUCUUGAAAAUGGCAAAGUUCUGAAGUGGUACUCAUUGCUUUACUCAGAGUCCACUGACAAGGUUUUCUGUUUCUGCUGCAAGGUCUUUGAUUUGAAUCCAAAAUCAUCCCUAGCAUUUGAGGAGUUAAAUGAUUGGCAGCAUAUGUCUCAGAUUCUCAUGUGUCAUGAAAAGUUGACUAGUCAUAUCAAUUCCUGCUGAAUGUAGGUUAAAGCAGAGCAAAGGAUAAAAUAGGAUCCUGUUAGAUUCACUGUUAGGUUCCUUGACACUUCAGAUGGCAAAGUGACCAUUCAGGAGCACUUUUUUGGUUUCAAAACAGUGGAAAAGUCCACAGGGGAAGGACUAACUCAUACUAUACUUACUACUCUGAAGAAAUAUGACAUAAAUAUCCGAGACUGCCAGGGCCAAGAGUAUGACAAUGGUGUAAAUAUGAAGGGGAAAACAAGGGUGUAUCGGCAAGAAUCCUGAAUCAAAACCCAAGAGCAUUUUUCUUUCUAUGUGGAUGCCACACAGUCUUGUGGUGGCGGAUACUGCAAAAUCUUCAGUGAAGUCCAAGUCCCUCUUUGGGAUUCUGCAAAAGAUCUACAUUCUGUUCUCUGUCCCUGUUCAUUGUUGGAAGAAUUUCACAGAUCAUGUCAAUGUCACUGCUAAGCCAGUAAAUGAAACAUGCUGCGAAUGCAGAAUUGAAAGCUUUAAAGCUAUUUGAUACCAA